GUUGAAAAAUUAGCGGAUGACUUGUGGCUGGGGGUGAAAGGCCAAUCAAACCGGGAGAUAGCUGGUUCUCCCCGAAAUCUAUUUAGGUAGAGCCUUGAGCGGACACCUUCGGGGGUAGAGCACUGUUUCGGCUAGGGGUCCAUCCCGGAUUACCAACCCGAUGCAAACUACGAAUACCGAAGAGUGAUACUCAGGAGACACACGGCGGGUGCUAACGUCCGUCGUGGAGAGGGAAACAACCCAGACCGCCAGCUAAGGUCCCAAAGUCUAUAUUAAGUGGGAAACGAAGUGGGAAGGCUUAGACAGCUAGGAUGUUGGCUUAGAAGCAGCCAUCAUUUAAAGAAAGCGUAAUAGCUCACUAGUCGAGUCGGCCUGCGCGGAAGAUGUAACGGGGCUCAAAUAUAGCACCGAAGCUGCGGCAUCAGUAGCAAUACUGUUGGGUAGGGGAGCGUUCUGUAAGCGGAUGAAGAUGGCUCGAGAGGGCUGUUGGACGUAUCAGAAGUGCGAAUGCUGACAUAAGUAACGAUAAAACGGGUGAAAAACCCGUUCGCCGGAAGACCAAGGGUUCCUGUCCAACGUUAAUCGGGGCAGGGUGAGUCGGCCCCUAAGGCGAGGCUGAAAAGCGUAGUCGAUGGGAAACGGGUUAAUAUUCCCGUACUUGGAUAAACUGCGAUGUGGGGACGGAGCAGGUUAGGUUAUCGCACUGUUGGAUAUGUGCGUUUAAGUUGGUAGGUGUGAAGUUUAGGCAAAUCCGGACUUCUUUAACACCGAGAGAUGAUGACGAGGCUCUACGGAGCUGAAGUAACCGAUACCACACUUCCAGGAAAAGCCACUAAGCUUCAGGUUUAUCUAAACCGUACUGAAAACCGACACAGGUGGUCAGGUAGAGAAUACUCAGGCGCUUGAGAGAACUCGGGUGAAGGAACUAGGCAAAAUAGCACCGUAACUUCGGGAGAAGGUGCGCCGGCGUAGAUUGUAGUCCCUUGCGGAUGAAGGUUGAACCGGUCGAAGAUACCAGCUGGCUGCAACUGUUUAUUAAAAACACAGCACUCUGCAAACACGAAAGUGGACGUAUAGGGUGUGAUGCCUGCCCGGUGCUGGAAGGUUAAUUGAUGGUGUAAUCGAAAGAGAAGCUCCUGAUCGAAGCCCCAGUAAACGGCGGCCGUAACUAUAACGGUCCUAAGGUAGCGAAAUUCCUUGUCGGGUAAGUUCCGAC
rnacentral:rRNA from 1 species